rnacentral:rRNA from 1 species
CGCGAAGAAGUUGAAAUUUCAUUGGACCGUUGCCAGACACUUAAAGCGAAAGCAUCUGCUAGUAUGUUCAUUUACAGAGCGAAAGUCAGAGUCGAAGACGAUCAGAUACGUCUAGUUCUGACCAUAAACGAUGCCAUCUGAUAAUCCGUGGUCUCUCCAUUCACGUGGGAUCACGGGCAGUCCCCGGGAAACCUGUAAGUUUAUGGGUUCCGGGGAAAGUAUGGUUGCAAAGCUGAAACUUAAAGGAAUUGACGGAAGGGCACCACCAGGAGUGGAGCUUGCGGCUUAAUUGACUCAACACGGGAAAACUCACCCGGGCCGGACACUAUGUGGAUUGACAGAUUGAUAGCUCUUUCAUGAUUCAGUGGCUAGUGGUGCAUGGCCGUUCUUAGUUCGUGGUAUGAGUUGUCUGGUUAAUUCCGUUAACGAACGAGACUCCAUCCUGCUAAUUAGUACGCAGAUCAGCUUAUUUGAUGUCUAUGAUUUGUCCAGAUAAGGGCAUGGGAGAGUCACUUAAGUCUGUGAUGCUGCUUAGAGGCACAGGUGGAUAAGACAAAACCACAUGAAAAGGAGCAAUAACAGGUCUGUGAUGCCCUUAGAUGUCCGGGGCCGCACGCGUGCUACAAUGAUAGUGGUAGAGAGUCUGCCUUUUUGGCCCGAAAGGGUUGGGUAAACUUUUCAAUCACUAUCAUGACUGGGAUCGGGAUUUGUAAUUAUCUCCCGUGAACCAGGAAUUCCUAGUAAGCACAAGUCAUAAGCUUGUGCUGAAUACGUCCCUGCCCUUUGUACACACCGCCCGUCGCUACUACCGAUUGAAUGGUUUAGCAAGGCCAAUGGAUUGGUGCUCCGUUUGCGCAAGCGACAGAGUGCUGAAAAGCUGCCGA